AUUGAACGCUAGCGUCAGGCCUAACACAUGCAAGUCGAGCGAGCGGGGGACGGGUGAGUAAUGUAUGGGGACUGCCCGCUAGAGGGAGAUCACUACUGGAAACGGUUGCUAAUACCGCAUACUAUCGGAUAACCCAUAUGGGAUUAGAUAGUAGGUGGGGUAAAGGCUCACCUAGGCGACGAUAUCUAGCUGGGCUGAGAGGAUUAUCAGCCACAAUGGGACUGAGACACGGCCCAUACGCCUACGGAGGCAGCAGUGGGGAAUAUUGCACAGUGGGCGCAAGCCUGAUGCAGCCAUGCCGCGUGUAUGAAGAAGGCCUUAGGGUUGUAAAGUACUUUCAGCGGGGAGGCGUUACCCGCAGAAGAAUCACCGGCUAACUCCGUGCCAGCAGCCGCGGUAAUAC
rnacentral:rRNA from 1 species